rnacentral:tRNA from 1 species
CGUUCUAUGGCGUAGUUGGUUAACGCGCCCAGUCUAGCGCACUGGGAGUCGUGGGAUCGAAUCCCACCAGAACGA